GACGAACGCUGGCGGCGUGCUUAACACAUGCAAGUCGAACGGUAAAGCGCUUGCUUCCACUUGUGCAACAGUGGCGAACGUGUGUGUAACACGUGAGUAACCCGCUCAUCACCGUGGUAUACGUGCUAGACACGGUGUCUUAUACUGUAUACGACCAACCCUUGCUUGUGGUGUGGGUGUUUAUUUUUUUUGGUGAUGGAUCGCGUCCGGGCCUCUUGUCUUGUUGGCGGGGUACUGGCCAACCAAGGCGGCGUCGGUUAGCCGGCCUGGUGGGGGGACCGGCAACACUGGGACUGAGAAACGGCCCAGACUCCACCGGGAGGCAGAAGUGGGGAAUAUUGAACAAUGGGCGAAAGCUUAAUGCAGCGCCGCCGGGUGAGGGAUGACGGCCUUCGGGUUGUAACCCUCUUUCAGAAGGGAAGAAGCGAAAGUGACGGUACCUGCAGAAGAAGCACCGGCUAACUACGUG
rnacentral:rRNA from 1 species